AUAAUCCUCUUUCCUCCCUUUUUCUUUCUUUUUCUCCACUUUCUCUAUCGUGUGCUGCUUUAUGGGCAAAAUAAUGAAGUUACACUGUUUGAAUUAUAACCCCUUGGCAUUUUGGUCGCCUUAAUUUUGCGUUUUGAGAUCAAGGUAAAUGAACCAUCAUGAGUCCACUGAGUGGACACUGAUAGGGGGUCUGCACCCCCCUGUGGAGAAAGAACCCAUAGGGACACCUGUGGACUCUCCCUUUGGUCUUUUACUCUUCUGUCUCCUCUUUGAACAUUUCCCUCUUAGCUUAGCUUGUAUUUGAAGCCAGUUUCCGCACAGGUGCCAUCAGCAACCCGGUCUGCGUCCCCUGCCCAUAUGUCCCGUGUGUCUUGGUGUCCCCCGAGCCCAGGACUCCAUUUCCAGGGGACCAAUGCGGCCAGGGGUGGCAGGCAGGGCCAGGAGUGAAAUAAACAGCUCAAGCUACUCAAAUAAUGGAUAGCAGCACUUAAUACCAUUUGUUAUAAUGUGUCCGAUAAAGCAUGAGCUAAACAGCGCCGGGUGCGCGGGGAGUCUGUGCUCCACCAACACGCACACCAAGAUCUCCAAACUGGCUCCUUUUAUUGUCCUUGAAUUCCGAAUUUUGGGCAGUUUCAGCCUAUUUUCGUUUCUUCUCUAUUUCAUGUUCUUUCCUUUGCGGUUUUCAGGAGUGCUACUUGCAGCUGGUCAUUCUCCAGGAAGUUGCUCUUUUUUCUCCGUGUCUUCUUCUUUCCUUGUUACUUCUAGUUUCACAAUUAGUCUUACAGUUGGUUUAAAGCAAGCCAGGUUUUCAAUUAGCCACACAGUUUGCUCAAAGCUUAGCCAUUAUUUCCUUUGUCUUAGCUCCAUGCCUUAUUUGGUUAAGAGCGGGUCUUACGAGCAAUCGCAAUGUCUUUUGUAACUUUCGUAAUGUCCUUUUACUUUCCAUACAAGUAGAACAGCUGCGCGCUUUUAGCACGAAUCGUAAUUACAUUUUUCACAGCGGCCGCAAGGACACAGCGGUGCUCCCGGUGCCCGCCCCCCCGAGCCGAGCGGGGCGGAGCGGCAGGACUACACCUCCCGUGCUGCACCGGCGGCGGGCGGCCCUCCCGGGCUGACGCUGCCGGCGGCUCCCGGCGCCGCCUUUGUCCGUGCCGGCGCUCUCCGGCCGCGGGCAUCCCCCGCUGGGCGGCCCCGGGAGGGAACCCCGGCCCCGACGGCCUCUCCCGUGCUCUCCCCUCCGCCGGCCGCCCCCCAGCCCUGCCGGACCCCCCCGCACUCCCCUUUGGUCCCGGCUCCCCCCGGCGCUCCGGCCUUUCCCCGGCUCGCCCCGUGGCCCCCGUGCAACGCGGACACGCUGCUCCGUGUCCCAGCCGCCCGGGCCCCCCUGGAUCCGGCCCUGGCGGCCCCGGCGCUGGGAAGGGCUGGGCUGGGGCCGGGCCGGGUGCUCAGACCCCCGAGACACCCCGCACAUCUUCCUGCUGCCCUUGUGGGGCACCGGAGCAAGAUUUGGGUACACGGGAGCUUCCAAAACCCCUUUUUCUCGUGUCUCUUUCUCGGCUUUGCCCCGAGCUGGCCGGGUUGUUGGGUGACACUCUUUGGGUUGGUCCUUUCCCCAUAGCUGUGAAGGCUCGGGGUGCAGGGAAGGCAGCUGUGGGCAGGUGAGUGAACUUGUGCCCCUGAUUUCUUCAUGAAAAUAUUGUUCUUGUGAGCAACAUCUGUCCUGGCUGUGCUGGUGCAGCUGGUGACGGGACAGGCACCUCGUGUGGAAUCCGGAGCAUCCUGCCUCCCUCUUCCCGGAUCAAUACCUGCACGGGACUCCAUCUCCGCGCCGAGAGCAGCGACGCGCCGGGCUCCAGGCUGCUGCGGCAAGGAUGCUACGAGCAACAGCUGCUGAUGCACUAGCGUAUCCACACUGGUGAGAAGCCCUUCUCAUGCACUGGCUGAAGCAAGACCUUCAGUGACAAGGAGACCCUCAUCAACCACGGGCAUAUCCACACUGGGGAGAUACCCUGCUUACAUGGCAAGUGUAGCAAGACCUGCAGCUAUGAGCAGCACCUGCAGAGCCAGCAGUGCGUGCACCGGAGUCCACUGAUGGUGCUGGUGGGUGGAUGGCAGGAGAGAGGGGUCCUUCCCCAGCAGGGGGGCAGGCAGAGGCCAGGCCCUUCCAGUGCGGUGUCUGCGAGAAGCAGUUUUGGAAGGAGAGGCUCAUGCUGGCUCACCAGCGCACCCACAGCACCCCCAGCCUGCAGCCGCCUCCGCAGCCCGGCACCCCCUGAAUCUGCUGCUGAGGGGCCCGUGGGGCGCUGGGAGCUUCUGUGGGGGUAGCUGUGGGGGCAUGUCUUGGUUUUAUUUGGGACAGAGUUAAUUUUCUUCCUAGUACCUGGUAUAGUGCUGUGUUUUGGAUUGAGGAUGAAAAUAAUGUUGCUAAUACCUGGAUGUUUUGUUUGUUGCUGAGCAGUCAAGGACUCUUCAGCUCUGGUGCCCUGCCAGCUGGGAGGGGACACAGUCGGGACAGCAGAAACAAAGUGGCCAAAGGGCUGUUCCAUACGAUGUCACACUCAGUAUAGAAACUGAGGGGAGUUUGCGGGGGUCACCACAGCUUGGGAACAGUCUGGACAUCGGUCAGCGGGUGGUGAGCAGUUGUGUUGUGUUUUGCUUGUUUUGUGUAUUCUUACAUCAUUGUCAUGGUCAUCAUUCCUUUCCUCUUCUAUCCUGUUAUUGGUCUUUAUCUCAACCUACAAGUUUUACACGUAUCAUUGGAGGAACCCAAUUUAAAUUUUAUGUUAAUCAUUUAGCUUAAAUAAGUACAUUUUUAAUAGCAUGAGUCACUUAGAAUGAAUUUGUAUUUCUGUUUCUUUAAGUGAUCUGAACACCGCUCUGCGGCAAGCGGGACCCUAAAUCACUGCUCUGUGACAAAUUGGCGUAGCUGGCAGGAUGGCGGGUGACAUCGCUGAUUGCGAUGGGGUGAAUCCGAGACCCACAUUCUCAGAAAAAUGGGCUCGUGAUAAUUAGCUUGAUUGGAAAGCUGGGACCUCUCCAGCAUAUUUGUGGUGAGACUGCCUAAGUCACAGUGACCAAAUAAUGCUGAAUGGAAAUGAAACAAUUGGCUUUUGGAGUCCAGGGGCUUGAUUAAAUCUAGCAGCUGACCCAGCCAAUGAAUACCGUUCUAUCACCAGCUAAGUAGCUUCUUGGGCUGGCAGAGAUGUUUUGGUAUGAGGUGAACCCCCCAUGAUACCCAUAAGAUCUCUUGAUGAGCUCCCUACAGCUGUGACAAAAGCUGCCUGCACACAAGCCAUGCAUCAAAGAGUAGCCACCAGUGUCCUGAUACCUACCGUAAUUGAUUAUGAAAUGCAGAACCCCAUCUAGUUGCAAAACAGGAUGAAAUGAGAACAGACCACAAUGAGUGAUGAGGCUGCAGUGUCCCUGCACCCCAGUCCCUGCCGGGGCCGACUCAGUGCACAACGCUGUCGAUCAUGCCCGUGAAAUGUGGUGGGAUGAUUCGGUAGCCAGAAAAUUGGACCCAAGACCCACUCAUUGAGUAAGACAAACAAAACAAACACCCCCAGGGGUGAUGGGCAUGUAUGCACCUUGUUAUAUCUUAAACAGUUGUUUUUGCAGCUUCUGGCAGGGGGGAAGAGAGUAGUGCUGUGGAGGCAGGACGGUAUCUCCCUCACUCUUUGCAAAGCAAAGGCACCAGCCUUUGAGAUAAAGGCAUUACCUGUGCUUGCACAAAAGCAGGGUCGUACAGUGGUCAUGAGUCACCAGGGGGAAUCACGACUCACCCCUAGAGGACCAACCAGCUCACUUCUGGGACCACUGACUCAUUUCUGACACAAUGUCCUUAAUCAGCAUGAGGAGCCAGCAGAGGGAGGAGGUGAGCCACCCGCUCCUAUCUUGCAUGCAAAUGAACUGAAGUAUUUAAAACUUCCCACUUGGGACACUCUUGCAUUGUGUUGCGCCUCCACCCUACGGAACUACAGAGAGCGGUGAGAGAUUGACCUUUGGAGUGGUGAAAUCUUACUCAUCUUCUGAUACCUAUCUCUCUUUUUCUCUCUCUGUUUCUAACUUUAUUCUGGGCACAUAAGGGUAAUGUCAUUGAGAAUUUUGUUGCUGAAUCUUGUUAAGUCUUGUAGUAUAGUUACAAGCUUUUGCCAAGCCACUAUUUGCUGUAAUUCCUCUGAGUUCUAAGUACAUUAGUGAUUUGAUUGAACCUUUUGAGUAACUGUCGUUCGUCUCAAAUACUGCACAGAGUAUUUAAGAGUUAAUCUUGCCCUCCCUGCACUGAGUGUGAGGGAACACUUAAGUUGGUGUCAGAAAUGGGAUACUCUGUGAGAAACAGUAAAGGGGUUUCCUACAAGGGGAUAUUAGCCAGAGUGCUGAAGAAAAGAGAACUGGUUUGCGGCCAAAACCAUAAUCUCCAGCAGGAGGUCAAGGCUACCCGGAUUAAUGUCUUCAAGGCCAGCAUGAAGUCACAGAAUAUUAGGGAUUGAAAGGGACCUCUGCAGCUAAACAAGAUAAGGGUCUGUCUGAAGAUAGUAAAAGGACAGAUGAGAAGCAAGAAGACCCCAGACUCAAAUAUUACUAUUGGAUUGAAUCAUCACGUGAGAGGCAGGUAAAUAGUGUGUGAGGGUUUAAUUACCCAGGGACUUGUAUGCUGGGCUUGGCAGCUCUGCGAAGGCACCCAGCUCGAGCUGACCCUCCUGCUGUUCCACACCAUUAAAUUGUUUAUUUCUAUGA